GACGAACGCUGGCGGCGUGCUUAACACAUGCAAGUCGAGCGGUAAGGCCCUUUCGGGGGUACACGAGCGGCGGAACGGGUGAGUAACACGUGGGUGACCUGCCCUCAGCUCUGGGACUAAGCCUGGGAAACCGGGUCUAAUACCGGAUAUGACUCCACUGACGCAUGUUGUGGGGUGGAAAGACCUUGUGCGGCUGAGGAUGGGCCCGCGGCCUAUCAGCUUGUUGGUGGGGUGAUGGCCUACCAAGGCGACGACGGGUAGCCGGCCUGAGAGGGCGACCGGCCACACUGGGACUGAG
rnacentral:rRNA from 1 species